ensembl:lncRNA
CAAGAGUUGAGGUCGUCUCUGGUCUUCAUUAGCACAUGGAAAAGCCAGGGGGAAAAAAUCACAUCUGACUACGGGGCCAGCACGAGUCAGCAGAGAAUCUAACAUUUCAGUUCCCACUCAGGAAAACCCAACGGCUUUGUUUCAGUUCUGGCUGCUCAUUCCAAAAUCAACCGAGACAAGCAGUUCUUGUGAAAAAAGCUCUUUGCCAACGAAACCAUCUGAAAAGGUUCAUUCUUUUCUCUUUGGGGAUAUUCAUCUUUUUUUUUUUUUUUUUUUUUGGUCUACGCUCGAUCUAUGAAUUUCAUAGCAGAAAAUGAACGCUUGGAACCAAUCCUUACAUCCUCGGUCCCUCACAUUCACACGUUGUCGAUAAGUGAUGCGUUCUGAUGAGUUUCUCCUGGUCUCGGCUUUGACACGAACUUCUCCUGAUCUGAUCCUUGGAAAGACAGAUCCUUAAUUGAUGUUAUUAGUGGAGCAUCAAUGCCAAUGCAAUUAUCGUGCUUUCUACCAGCACUGACACAGCUGUGAACAGUCAAUUGUGUUUGAAUCAGGAACUUCUUGCCCAGUUCCCAGGAAAAUUACCUCCGCAGACAAAACCAGAGGAACUCCUAUCACGUGGUUUCCUCCAAAAGUGAAUGUGCCACCCCCUGGCAGCACUCAGAUGGACGUCCACGCGAUGUAUGGCGUCUGCUGAAAUUGCUCAUUUGGUUCCCAGCCAGAAAGACCCAAAGAUAGAGAGGAGCUUGUUUGUGCUCAGCCCCAUGAAAGCAUUCUCUGCACUCCGGCGUACGCUGAGCCGCUCAGUACUGCGCAAAUUGGAUCCCGCUUCUCCCACUGCUUCGGGGAGGGAAGGAGCAAACAAAGACAAAUAAAAGCAAACGCACAUCUCAGUCAGCUUUGCCUCCCCGGGAAAGGAAACAGAAGAAAAAAGCGAACAGCAGGCGCCCUUAUGUGCUACGGACAUCAGGUUUGGGGCUGCUGAGAGCUCAGGAAUUACAGCUGUGGGUGGAUAGGAAACCCAACAGCCUCGGACUCAUGAAUCCCUGUCCGGUCCUCACAAAUUCUUGAAAUGCUUUGGUUACAGCAGCUGAGAAAACAAAACAAAACACAAUUCACCUCCGUCCUGAGAGGAAGUGGGAGAAUUUCUUGGUGUUUUGAGAGGUAGAGCUGACAAUAACAAGAAGCAAACGGGCCAGCUGUGCAGGAAAGUCGUGCGAGAGGGUGAGUGCAGAGCCACCAUCGCGUAGCUGAGCGAUAGAGCUGAGCUAAAAGUGCUCUCUGUGGGUUUGCUGAAUGUUUUUGGAGGAGCCUGACGCCGCUUUGCUGGAAGCUCUGCUCCCAGGUGCUGCCCUCUCACGGUGAGGAGUGCAGCCCCAGGGCUGAUAGCGCAAGAGAAGUCAGAGCAAGUGGUGGUGUGCUUUUCAAGACCUCAGGUUUGAUGCUGGGUUGCUCCAUUUCUUUUGGCGCCAGGGUUGUGCUGAAAUCCAUUGCUGGACGCUACAGGCAAGCAGACAGAGCAGCCCUGCGAGGCUCUCCCGCUCCUGCUUGCCUCAGUGGAGGACUAAUGCCUCCUGGUGGUCCCAAACACGUCUCGCUGAUGGCACAGGAGUGUGCCUGUGCCCCUUCCAGCGCUAACAAGGUCAUCUGGCUGCUGGGACGCCUGGGGAAGGUACCAGAAGCAUCCCAUCUCCUAUCUGCAGCUCACGUGGAGAUGCUCUGGGCACCAAGUGGGAAGGCUCAGAGUGACAGCAAAGAGGUAAGAGACAAAGGACAGGUAGUGGAGAAAGGGCAGAGGCUGAGCUGUGGCAUGAGGCCAUGGGCUGACCAUGGAAGUGCAACAGAACUGGGGGCUGUCGGAACCACUGAAAGCUUCAGUCCUGAAGAGAACCCAGAUACAAUGUGGGCUGCUUUAACCAGGGACACAGUGAACAGCCAUGGAAGUGAGAACCCAAAGCUUCAUCAGCAAAAUUCCAUGGUUUAAUGAGGUCUCACUCAGUAUGGCACAGAGCAGGGCUCUGGCACAGAGCAGGGCUCUGGCACAGUGUAAGGCUAUGGCACACAACAAGAACCCUAUGGUGCCACCUGGAGCUGCACAGGGACAAAAGUUCUUCCAAUGAAAGAAUUCCUCUUCAAAUGAAAAAUACUGUAAACAUGAAGAAAACCUGAAGAUCUUCUGGAGGAAAAACGAUGCAGUUCUGCACAACAGGAUACAGGGCCAAUAGAGAUGGGGUGGUGUUGGGACAGCUCUGUGGGAGGAGGAGGCUGGAGGCAGUUCUUUUUCCUUCUGGAUGUAUACACCUGUAGUAUUUAUAUGAGAUUGUCUAUUUGCCUUCAGCCUUUCUGCUGCGAGGCUCACCACAAGAUACUCCUUAAGUCCUCACUGAUGGCAGAAUCUCUGUUCUUCUGCUGUAUCCUCAUAGCAGACUCCUCCUCCUGGGUCUGCCU